rnacentral:misc_RNA from 1 species
UAAAAGGUUUUUAUUUCAUGUUGUUGACAAUGCCCCGAAUUUUACCGAUGACCCCUCCUGAGAUAAAUCACAAUCCCGCAGAAGCAGAGGAAAUAAAUCAUAUCAUUUUUCGUCUGCUCUCCUUGGCUCCAUGAUGGAUUCUUUCGAGCAGCGUUUAAGGCGCGUUCGUGAGAGUGCCACAGCGCGCGAAAGAAGACGUCUCCUAUUGGUCAAUGACGCGUACACCAGGUUAAGCAACGCACUGCCGCAAGACUUCAUUGGGAAUGGUACUAAGCUAGAUAUUCUUAGAGGUGCUGUUAAAUACAUCACAUUGCUGGACCUACAGUUAAAGAAACCAGAAGCGUCGGAACCAAAGACACAGAUAAAUCAGUCGUAUGGCACCACUGAUUAUGAUGCAGACUCUGAGAUGGAAAUUAAGAGUAGGUCUAAGGGUUGUUGUUGUAUUUACUCGUUUGAUCCUUACACAGAAGAACCCACAGAAGUAGGCACACAGUUGGGUGAUAGGGGUAUCGGUAUUUGCACAAUUGAACACCGGACAUUGAUAGAUUUGGACGACCCUCCACCUAAGUUCAAUAUAUCGUGGUAUUAAGUAAAUUUAUUGUUUUCAAAUGUGUAUAAUAUCUUUCUAUUUCAAAUCCAUUCAAUUAUGCCUGUACCAUAUUUUAAAUAAACAGUAAAACAUUUACAUCGACAAAAUCGCAAAUCUUGUAACAACGUUUUCAUAAUAACGCAGCCACCAACCGUUUUACACUGCGUUUUGUUUCUAUUCAUAAACCUCAGUUUAAGAACUUCUUACAGCUCAUGUGUAGGCCUACUACUUAGGCGAUUGAAGAAAAGCGGAUUUGUAUUGCUAGAAAGUGGGUAUUCAACUUAUUCCACGGGCGGUAUUUCAGACAGAAAGCUGACUAAUGGAGUGAAGUUUGUUUUACGUAAUUGCAGAUGCUCUUUCUACGCACACCUUAUUGUUCGAUGGAUCUCCUACGACUAGCGGACAAAUCAAUUAGAAGGUGUAAAUUUGAUGUCGGUUGGUGGUUUAAUACUCUACGAAUUUGUUUGAAAAACGCUUAAAUGUCAGCAUUAUGCAGACGAUAAUCGCUACUGUUUUGCGCUUGACUCUUUUUAGUAUGUUUUUUUGCUCCUAAAAGGGACAGCAUAUUCAAAGAUUAGAGGUGAAAACUGUGAAUUAUCACAACUUUUUGUAAACUUAGGAUAUUAUAACAACCGUUGUAAUGUGAUGAGAAGAGAAUGUGUAGGCCUAUACUGUAUAGGCCUACUAGGCCUAUCUAAUAUAGGCCUAGGCCUACCCUUACCACCGAGAUGCUAUGGACUUCCAACGAUUUUUCUCAAUUACAAACUCAGUUAGGACGGAGAGCUUUGGUUCAAAAACAGACGUGCCAAAUGGAGGAAACAGAAGUGAGAGCAACACGAAACCGUCAAGCGAUCCUCAAACUUAGAUGUUGAAAAUAGUCAUCCAACGACACUCGUACCAAACAAUCCAAACUACAGUGACGAUAAAGACGAUCCAAAAACCACUACUGCCAACACAGAAACGAACGAAAAUAAACAUUUUAAAUUAAAAAAAGAAACCGAAAAGAUAGAUAUUAUAAGCGGAACGUCUUUUACUUCAGGUUGACAGAUUGAUAUUAAUAACACUCAUUAAUUUAGAAUAUUGAAAACCGAUUCCCAUAAUUCCCAAAUUCGAAAAAUCCUGUCUGUUAGAUCUGAUUUAAUGAGCUUCCUUAAUAUAUUUUAUUUUAUUUUGCUGUGCGCAUGGUACGAAUCGGCGCUGACUUUCCUGAGACAAUUGAUAAUAAAGUACGGUAUUAAAAACAUGCAAAUAGGCCCUAUUAUGAAUUUGCGGGAGAUGAGUUAUUUUCCGGGAGAUUCGUCCUUGCUUGCGGGAGUGCAGGAGGCCGUCCCGAUUUCCGGGAGACUCCGACAAGUUCUGGGAGACUUGGGAAUAUCCCUGUAACAUCCUUGUUACCAUAAAAUCGCUAUUGUACUGUCCCAGUGCAAUCGGGAAGACUCCCCGAUUCAGGCCGCUAAUAAGCGUUGCUAGAAUCUGGUUCUGGUAGGUAAAGCCGACCUCCAAAAGUGUAGGAGUAUGACGGGGGGGGGGGGGGGAGGAAGAAAUAGUGUCAAAUUACAGUAAAGGUCCACCACCACAGUUGAAGACGCGCAGCGUCAGUCAUGAGCAGGAUUGCCGUACCUGAUAGGUAGAAAACUCACAAUCACAAGAGCAUCGGCUUUGCGAAAACAAAAAAAAAACAAAAAAAACAAAACAAAACAAAAACAAAUUUGGUAGUGAAAUUUGGGAGCGUUUAAAGAUUAAGUGAAAAUUACACCUUCAAGAAACGAGACGAGAAGAUUAGAAUAUUAAUUGGUGAUGUUAUAUGGAAACUAGGCUUAAUCAUACUAUUGGUUUUUCCAUCACAUUUAAAGAUAGAUGUAUAUUUAUCUAAACGCUCUUAUCCGCUUCCAUGCUACUUAAAACUGGGGAUAAGCUCCCGUCCAUAAUGAGCACCGUAGCUCGACAAGGAUUUACUCUACAUCUAUAUUAGAAAAAUGGUUUAUAUAGCAAUACAAUCGUAUAUCAAUAAUGAAAAACGCUAUAUAUUUAACAAACCAAAUCAUUUAAAAGUGUCGUUUCCAGCAGAGAAAUGAGUUUGGACAAAACAAGGAUCGUCUACCAACCCUCACUUUUUGUUUAGUUUCCCGUCCUCAACUGACAAGAAUAAUACAGUAAGUAGAAUUUUCAAAGCCGUUCGACGCGAUCUAUACUAAACUUACUGUCGACAAAUACAUUAAUGCGUUUCUUCGCAGCUAAUUCACGCCCGAGGUAUCCAGUAAGUAUCCGCUUUUGUUUUCUAAGUACAGUAUGCAUAUAGUAUGAAGAAAAAAUACGUCAGAGGAACAAUUCCUGGUUUGGAGUUACAACCAGUUAAACGUGUUUGCACUAGUAUGAGAUUUUCACUAAACCUGUUGUUCAAGUGUGGAAUAGAUAUUUGCUACAAAAUACCAAUAAUGUUCAUGGCCGAAUUGAUGUUAACACAAUAAUAAACGACUAAAAAAAUUAAGAAAACUAGGCAGGUGAUUUUUUUUUUAUUGCAAAUAUACACAGCCAUAUUGAAACACGCAAAAUUAAUGCGAGAUAAUAGUGGUAUCGGUUAUGUAUUCCAUCCAUAAAAUUGUCCAUUGUUAAAUACAAUCAAUCAACCAGUCAAUUCCUUAUUAAGUGCAUUAUUAUAAUUUAGGAAAAACAAUCACAUACAGUAGAAAGUGCUCUGAGACUUAGUUGUAUAGAGCGCUAUAUAAAAGCCUACAUAUUAUUAUUAUCAUUAUUAUUAAAUAUUUGUUUAAUUACAAGCUUAUACUGUCAUAGUUCGUUUUUUCUUCCAAGAAACCGUUUUCCUUUUUGAAAAAUACGGUAGGUUAUGUGUUGUUCUUGUUUGGAAAACAAAUAUAAUACUUUAUUAGAUAAUAAAACUGAACGUAUUUAACAAGAAAAAGUUAUAAAUAUCUGUGUUGAAUUUGAGAGACGCACUGUUGAACAUAAUAUCUCGAGAGCUGCCAAUGAGGGCGAGAGUCAUACUAUGUACUCUGAAAAAACACGAUGAGAAUGCACGUUGCAUGUUAAAGUGGAUUUAAGAAUAUCAAAUGAGUAAUAGUAUUUAAUAAAUGUACACAUAUACACAAUGUCGUUGAUUUACUUCAUUACGAUUUGCAACCAUGUUCCUAUACCAGUAUAUGACCACUGUAUUAUUAUCUAUUUGAUUUAUAAGUAUAAAAUUCAUGAUAUAAUAGUGAUAAUCUCUAAAGUUUAAACUAUCUUGCGGUAAUGCUAUAAAUAUAUGUAGCCAUAAAGAACAUAAACUGCGAAUGUGAAAACAUAGGUGCCCCAACCGGGAUUCUGUUGUCCAUAUGUAUG